ensembl:snRNA U6 U6 spliceosomal RNA
GUACUCACUUCAGCAGCACAUACACUAAAACUGGAAUCACAGAAAAAAGAUUAGCAUGGACCCUGCACAAAGGAUAACAUGCAAAUUUGUGAAACUUUUUUUUUAUGU